UACCCUAAGCGGGGGAUCACUUGGUUCGUGGGUCGAUGAAGAACGCAGCAAACUGCGAGAAUUUAUGUGAACUGCAGGACACAUGAACAUCGACAUUUUGAACGCAUAUUGCGGUUUAUACUGACAAGUUUCUUAACUGAAGCUGUAUAGACCACACAUGGUUGAGGGUUG